GUUAAGCGACUAAGCGUACAAGGUGUAUGUCCUGGCAGUCAGAGGCGAUGA
rnacentral:rRNA from 1 species